rnacentral:lncRNA from 1 species
UUGCGAAGAUUGGAAAUGCAUUUUCGUCGCGUUUUCGGCGAAAUCCGCCGACGGAACGCGGGUUCGGUUCGGAAUUAUUCCGACGGUGCUUCGUGAGCUUUUGUGUAGUCGUUGAGCCUUGUUGGCUGGUCACUCGCGUCAUUUCGAGAGUUCAGAAAUGAUGAGUGAGCGACGGUGGGUUCCGGUGUCGAAAUUGACACUUCCAGGAACCCUGAUCCCAAC